rnacentral:rRNA from 1 species
GACGAACGCUGGCGGCGUGCUUAACACAUGCCAGUCGAACGGAAAGGCCCUGCUUUUGUGGGGUGCUCGAGUGGCGAACGGGUGAGUAACACGUGAGUAACCUGCCCUGGACUUUGGGAUAACUUCAGGAAACUGGGGCUAAUACCGGAUAGGAGCUCCUGCUGCAUGGUGGGGGUUGGAAAGUUUCGGCGGUUGGGGAUGGACUCGCGGCUUAUCAGCUUGUUGGUGGGGUAGUGGCUUACCAAGGCUUUGACGGGUAGCCGGCCUGAGAGGGUGACCGGCCACAUUGGGACUGAGAUACGGCCCAGACUCCUACGGGAGGCAGCAGUGGGGAAUAUUGCACAAUGGGCGGAAGCCUGAUGCAGCAACGCCGCGUGCGGGAUGACGGCCUUCGGGUUGUAAACCGCUUUCGCCUGUGACGAAGCGUGAGUGACGGUAAUGGGUAAAGAAGCACCGGCUAACUACGUG